rnacentral:rRNA from 1 species
AUUGAACGCUAGCGGGAUGCCUUACACAUGCAAGUCGAACGCGUGGCGAACGGGUGAGUAAUGUAUCGGAACGUGCCCAGUAGCGGGGGAUAACUACUGGAAACGGUAGCUAAUACCGCAUACCAUCAGAUGUGCCCAGAUGGGAUUAGCUAGUAGGUGGGGUAACGGCUCACCUAGGCGACUAUCCCUAGCUGGGCUGAGAGGAUGACCAGCCACACUGGAACUGAGACACGGUCCAGACUCCUACGGGAGGCAGCAGUGGGGAAUAUUGCACAAUGGGCGCAAGCCUGAUGCAGCCAUGCCGCGUGUGUGAAGAAGGCCUUCGGGUUGUAAAGCACUUUCAGCGGGGAGGCGUUACCCGCAGAAGAAGCACCGGCUAACUCCGUGCCAGCAGCCGCGGUAAUAC